CAGGUCUGCAAGGCCAGGCAGUAGAGAAGGAGCCAGCAGGGGAGAGGUUCCUGCACAGCAUUAGAUGUGUCUGACUUCUAAGGAAAAUGAGACUCCAGACACAUUGAUGGGGCAUCAACAAGACUGUGGAUAGGAAAUGAGUGAGCUGCCAACUAUUGAGCUGCUGAGCCGGAGACCACAAGACUCCACUUCUGUCCCCAUCAUCGCAGAGCCCUGCCAUCUGGAGCAGACCUCUGAGGAGAACUCAGCCCGCAGUGACCAUGUUCAGCAGGGCCUCGAGACAGAAGUGCAUCCUUAGCCAGGCCAGCUCAGCGCUGGGGAGAAGCAAGCCCAGAGAAGAUGCUGCAGACAAGGAGGAACAGGGGCUCCCACAGCACCCAUUCCACCAACUGAGAAAGAGACCACAGGCACAGAAGAGGGCACCACAGCAG